CAUCUACUCCCUUUGUCCGAAAAAGCUUGUCCCAAGCUUGUCCAUCAAAUGAAUGUAUCUAGCAGUAAUUUGGUGCUAGAUACAUCCAUUCGAGGGACACACUUUUUCGGAUGGAGGGAGUACAUC
rfam:Triticum aestivum genome assembly, contig: Triticum_aestivum_CS42_TGACv1_scaffold_049786_1BS